rnacentral:lncRNA from 1 species
CCUCAGAUACUAAUUGCUUGGAUCUAUUAUUAUCUAGACAUGUUUAGGAACUGCGGAAUGUCUUGAAAAUGAAAGGGAAUUCUUUGCUAUUAUUUUAUUUAGAGAGUUUUUUAUUGGAAAUCGGAAACCUCUCCCCAAAAUCCCUACGUAUAGCUCAUCGAAUGCUUCUCCUAUACAGCACACAAAUAAUCAUUUGCCAUUUGCGAAAAAUUAGAAAUUCAUUUGGAGGAAGGGGAAACGAAAGCAAGAAAAGUCAAUAAAACUUGUUUCGCUAAUUUCUCAGGGGCAUUUGGAAGUGAAAAAGUUCUUCUACUGUAUUUCGGUCUUUGAUUUGUUGUCUGUUUGGUUCCAUCUGACAAAUGUCUUGUGUGUUUUUAAUUGUGUGUGUUUCGGUAAUGUCUUCAUUACCUUACCCCUUUUUGGCUGCUCUCCUCCCUGCCCUCUCUCUGUGCGGAUUGAAACUCGUUCUAUGGUUUAAUGGGCUUAGCAUUUGGGCAGAUAUGUAUGAAUGCUUGAUAUAUGGCUAGCAAUUUUAUUGAUUCUCGCAACGGGAUGGAACGCAUGGAUGGUAGUUGGUUUAUCAGUGGACUGAUCGGACAAUUGGUUAUUGUAUUGGAAUUAUGAAAUUAUGCAAAUAUCGAAUUAUGAUCGAGGCAGCAACCAAGGAGACACACAAAAGGGUUGAAAUGUUAAGACAUUUGGCAAAUAUAAGAUUUAUAAUCGAGUGUGACAGCAUAAAUAAUAAUUACGCUACAAUUAUGACAUUUUUGUUCGGGAAUUAUUCAUAAUUUCCACUGAUAAGCCAUUGGCCCAAAUCUGUGGCUCUUGCUUACGCGAACUUCUGAUGGAGUUUCCACCGAUUUAAUGUUCUGUUCCACAAACUUCCCACGGAUCACACGGAUCACCAGAUACCAGAUACCAGUUCGGAGAUCGCCAGAGAUCGCUAACGAUAUGUUAAUGUUGGCUAGCCAAAAGAACACGAGUGCAAGAGCGAGUACCCACAUGUUUAAGAUUAGACAUUACUCUACGACUCGGACUGGGACUGGGAUUGGGAUUGGGAUUGGUAUUGGGAUUGGCAAAACCCCCUAGCGGAAGUCGAAGCUG